ensembl:lncRNA
GAGGAGGAGGUGGUGGUUGAGAUGAGGAGGUGGUGGUGGUUGAGAGGAGGUGGUGGUUGAGAGAAGGAGGUGGUGGUGGUUGAGAGAAGGAGGUGGUGGUGUUUGUUGAGAGAAGGAGGUGGUGGUGGUUGAGAGGAGGUGGUGGUGGUGGUUGAGAGGAGGUGGUGGUGGUGGUUGAGAGGAGGUGUUGGUGGUUGAGAGGUGGUGGUGGUUGAGAGGAGGAGGUGGUGGUGGUUGAGAGGAGGAGGUGGUGGUGGUUGAGAGGAGGUGGUGGUGGUGGUGGUUGAGAGGAGGUGGUGGUGGUUGAGAGGAGGAGGUGGGGGUGAGGAGGUGGAGGAGGUGGUGGUUGAGAGGAGGUGGUGGUUGAGAGGAGGUGGUGGUGGUGGUGGUGGUGGUUGAGAGGAGGAG